UUUGGGAUAGCUCAGUCAGUGGAGUAGGAGCCUCUUAAUCUCAGGGACAUGGGUUCAAGCCCCACAUUGGGCAAAA